UGGCUGGGGAGUUGCUGUGCUCACACAAUCACAGAAUCAGUCAAGUUGGAAGGGACCACAGUGGGUCACUGGUCCAGCCUCAAAGCAGAGUCAGCACAUGGCACAGGAUUGUGUCCAGAAAGUUCUUGAGUAUCUCCAGUGAGGGAGACUCCACACACUCUCUGUGCAAUCUGUUCCAGUGCUCGGUCAUCCCCACAGUGAAAAAGAAGUUCUUCCUCAUUCUCAGGUGGAACUUCCUGGGCAUCAGUUUCUACCCCUUGCCUGUGUCCUGGUGAUUGGCACCACUGAGAAGAGCCUGGCUCCCUCCUCUUGGCGUCCCCCCUUUAGAUAAUUACAUGCACUAAUGAGGUCCUCUUUCAGUCAUCUGUUUUCAAGGCUGAACAGGCCCAGUUCCUUUACCCUUCUCCUGGAGAAGUUAAAAUAAAAAUUAUUCAAGUGUAGUAAAAUACACAAAAAUAUGUGUACCAUAAACCUGAACUUGGUAUUAAAAAGCUCCUGUUGAUGUAAGAUAAUCAGAACCCUAGGUCUUUAUUUGCAGUAUUUAGUCUGUAAAUGUGAGUUCAAUUUCCAGCUGAGACAUAAAUAGGGCUGAGAUUUGUGCUUUACCUGUUUUGCUCUGGUUUACUAUGCAAUCACAGAGUAAUAAAAGAUCUGUCACUUUAUAGAAGCAACAGAUCAGCCUUAUCUACAUAUUGAUGUUCAGAUGGGAACACGCACCCACAGGCCAUCCUGCAGGACACCAAAGCAUUGGAUUCAACUCUCUGGGAUUGGUGAACAGGGACAGAGUUAUGAAAUAAUUAAUGGAUAACAACUUUCAUGAAGUACUUGCUGACAUUUUAAUCCCAAGGUGCCACUACAGGCAGGACCUGCCUCUCAGAGAUAGUGCAAUUGAGACUCUGCCCAAGUAAUUUAUAAUUUGGCCCUGGUUCCUCCUAUUGGAUUGUCACAGGAUGUCCAUGAAAAGGACAGUGACAUGCAUCAUUCUGUAGUAACCAUCAAAGAAGCUGUAUUUAGUGACAUCUGCACUAUGGUCUCCCAGCUUCAUUCCACAGAGCAGGAGCCAGGAUGUCUGCUCACAGCUGUCUUGCUGCAUGGCUGGCAGGAGGUGCUGAUACUGAGCUGAAAUUGCAACAUGCCUUUGGGAAGCAGAUGCAUGGGUGUA
rnacentral:lncRNA from 1 species